GAAAUUAAUCCUUGAUGUUACUUUAUGCUUUUUUUUAAGUGGCUCAAGAGUGUACCGUAAAUGAAGUCAUUCUAUGGUUCUUAAUUAUAUAUAUCGUGGUAUUGCUGUAUCUAAUUUCUCUGUCAACUUUAUAACGGAUGACAGUGGAUUUGUAUUUUUGAGCAUGACAAGGCUAUUUGGCUUUACCUGAAAGCUAGGCUACCCUUCUCUUUAUUUUCCAAUUGUUGUAUGAACUGAUGAAAGAGUGUCUUUUUCUCCAUCUAUCUUCUUUAGCAGUUAGCCAGGUAUAUCUGCUGUUUAACCUUUCAUGUGAGCUUUGUUGUAUGAACUGAGUUCUCUUGGUUAUAGGGAUUGUAGUUUUACGUCAACCUAUAGAGCGGAGGAUGCCGCUUCAAGCUGCAGUACUGUUCGCUUCUUUCAAAUAUGUGUAAUUUGAUCUUCAUAUAUUUUUGUUGAUUGUUGUGUUCUGCAACAGAUCAGUAAUUUUUAAAAUGAUCAUCACCUUCUUAGUAGAUGCUGUAAUGAUCUUCUAAUACGUGCAUUACUCUCUACGCUUUGGCAUCUUUUGCAAGUUUAUUUUUUGUAAUAAUGGGAAAGUCCUGACAGCUAUAUGUAUCUCCUUACUUUGGCGUUCAGUUGCACCUUCAGUGGGCUGCCUACAAAAAGGAACCGACAUGCCCUCGGUGUAAAUAUCCAUUUGAGUUAAUUACAUCCAUCCCUCACUUGAUGGAAGGAGACAACAUGUCACAGUAGAGGCGAAUGACGACGAGAAGGUCUUCUGAUCACCACGAUGAGACUGGCGAAGAUCACGACUUGAAGAGACACUUGUUAGACUUGAAAUGACAUGGGAUUCAAAUGAUUUAUUUUUUAUUGAAUGAGAUACAUGAACUGAAAAUUGUUUUAUUGGUGUGGAUUUAAUGAAUUACUUAUGCUUUUUUA